UACGUAGGCAGCAAGCGUUGUUCGGAGUUACUGGGCGUAAAGGGUGCGUAGGCGGCUUCUUAAGUCUGGUGUGAAAUCUCCCGGCUCAACUGGGAGGGUGCGCCGGAUACUGAGGGGCUAGAGUGUGGGAGAGGAAAGUGGAAUUCCUGGUGUAGCGGUGAAAUGCGUAGAUAUCAGGAGGAACACCGGUGGUGUAAACGGCUUUCUGGACCAUAACUGACGCCGAGGCACGAAAGCGUGGGUAGCAAACAGG
rnacentral:rRNA from 1 species